rnacentral:rRNA from 1 species
GACGAACGCUGGCGGCGUGCUUAACACAUGCAAGUCGAACGAAGAGCGAUGGACGCUUGCUUCUAUCAAUCUUAGUGGCGCACGGGUGAGUAACGCGUAAUCAACCUGCCCUUCAGAGGGGGACAACAGUUGGAAACGACUGCUAAUACCGCAUACGAUCUAACCUCGGCAUCGAGGAUGGAUGAAAGGUGGCCUCUAUUUAUAAGCUAUCACUGAAGGAGGGGAUUGCGUCUGAUUAGCUAGUUGGAGGGGUAACGGCCCACCAAGGCGAUGAUCAGUAGCCGGUCUGAGAGGAUGAACGGCCACAUUGGGACUGAGACACGGCCCAGACUCCUACGGGAGGCAGCAGUGGGGAAUCUUCCGCAAUAGACGAAAGUCUGACGGAGCAACGCCGCGUGAGUGAUGACGGCCUUCGGGUUGUAAAGCUCUGUUAAUCGGGACGAAAGGCCUUCUUGCGAAUAGUUAGAAGGAUUGACGGUACCGGAAUAGAAAGCCACGGCUAACUACGUG